AGCGAACGCUGGCGGCAGGCCUAACACAUGCAAGUCGAACGAACUCUUCGGAGUUAGUGGCGGACGGGUGAGUAACACGUGGGAACGUGCCUUUUGGUUCGGAAUAACUCAGGGAAACUUGUGCUAAUACCGAAUGUGCCCUUCGGGGGAAAGAUUUAUCGCCAUUAGAGCGGCCCGCGUCUGAUUAGCUAGUUGGUGAGGUAACGGCUCACCAAGGCGACGAUCAGUAGCUGGUCUGAGAGGAUGACCAGCCACACUGGGACUGAGACGCGGCCCAGACUCCUACGGGAGGCAGCAGUGGGGAAUCUUGCGAAAUGGGCGAAAGCCUGACGCAGCCAUGCCGCGUGAAUGAUGAAGGUCUUAGGAUUGUAAAAUUCUUUCACCGGGGACGAUAAUGACGGUACCCGGAGAAGAAGCCCCGGCUAACUUCGUG
rnacentral:rRNA from 1 species